ensembl:lncRNA
CUGGUGACAAACAGGUGGUUUCACCUCCAUGUCUGGUAACAAACAGGUGGUUUCACCUCAAUGUCUGGUAACAAACAGGUGGUUUCACCUCCAUGUCUGGUGACAAACAGGUGGUUUCAUCUCCAUGUCUGGUAACAACUGUGUUAGCUCGUCUAACAUCUGGUAACAAAAACCCUUGCACUUGUAAAGCGGUAACAAAUAUCAAACUCUUAAGUUUACAUUUCAACUUAUUGAGUAAUGUAUAAACUAUAGUGGCAGGAGCAGCAAUAGGGGCAAAAACAGCCAACUACUCGGAUGACCCAAGAUAUUAU